rnacentral:rRNA from 1 species
CCUGGAAACAGAUGCUAAUACCGGAUAACAACAGAUGAUGCCUAUCAACUGUUUAAAAGANGGUUCUGCUAUCACUCUUGGAUGGACCUGCGGUGCAUUAGCUAGUUGGUAGGGUAACGGCCUACCAAGGCGAUGAUGCAUAGCCGAGUUGAGAGACUGAUCGGCCACAUUGGGACUGAGACACGGCCCAAACUCCUAGGGAGGCAGCAGCA